rnacentral:lncRNA from 1 species
UUUUCUUGUGUCCACAUCAUUAAUGUUAUACACUGAUUUGUCUGAUUCUUGCUAAAUCAUUCAACCAUUAAAUCUAGACCUACAAAAAAAAAUCUCAGAAAACAUCAUAAGAAAAUCACAUUAUACAGCAUAAAAAUCACAAAAUAACAUGUGUUAGAUAGCAGAAAAAAAAUUAUAUUACUUGCCAAUAAUAACUCUAAUGUAAACAAAUACUUUAACUAAAAUAUUUGUUAUCCCAAACCCUAAUUCUUUAACCUUCACAACGAAACCAUUA